UGAGUCUUUGGCAUACUAAAAAGCAAUAAUAUAUAUAUACACACACAAUAUUGGUGAAACAAAUGUUAAACAUCAUUCGAGUUAUGAAGAUGAGAUUUAAUGGCGGUUUUGCUUCUUUCUUGGCAAUUGUUUUUGCCCUUGCUCUGAUUUCCUCUAUGAUGAUAGUUGUUCAAGCAAGAGUAGAAGCUGCACCACCGCCAGCAAAACAUGAUCACAGCAAGGGUGGCUGCUGGAAGUGUUGGGAUGAUAAAAAACACAAGACAAAAGCAGUACCAUCAUCACGUGCUAGCGGCAAUAAGAAGCGAUUGGGGUAAUCAGAAGUCAGUCAUCGGUGAUAAUGUUAAUGAUGGUGUGUUCCAAUAAUCAGUAAGAAAGAUAUUUUGUCUUUAAGUUAUAUGCGUCUUUUACUUUUAAACCAUGUAUCACCUCAUUUUGUUGGUUCAACAGAGUUACUGGAUAUAUGUUUCUUUUGUA